rnacentral:lncRNA from 1 species
ACUUUCUAUGUGAAGCUUAUGUUACAUCUAAUUUUAAUUACUAUAAUUGUCCAAACCAUAUACAUGAAAGUUAUGAUUAUCAAAGUGUGAUCAUGUUAUAUGUAUUUUAAUCGUAUACUUCUUCAUUUUUUUUGGAGUUCAUCAUAGUGUUGGAAUUUUCGUAUCUCAUAACUAUUUGCCCCAAUCCCAAGAAAUAAUUGAUAUUUACUUUUUAAAGGUAUGUUAGAUAUUUAUAUUAAAUUUUUUGGUUGAUUUUUUUAAAUUAUUCAUAAUAAUAAUCACUUUUAAGUUUAAAGGAAUCAUAAUAUGAAUACAUGCAUGAAAGGCUCCAAAAGGUU